rnacentral:tRNA from 1 species
CGCGCGGCCGGGGCGUGGCGCCCAGAGCGCUGGCGGCGCUCACCGACUGGGCGUUCGCCACGUUCGCCGCGCGG